AUGGAGGAGGGGGAGGCGCUGGACGCGUACGCCGGCAAGACCGGCGGCAUGGCAGCAAGGUAUGCUGGCCUCGGCUCGACACUCGGCGACGCUGCCAUGGUGAAAAAACUGCUCGACACGGUGCCUGAUCGGUUGUAUGCCGCGGUGGCCGGGAUCGAGCAGUUCUGCAACGUGGAGACGAUGGCGUUCGAGGAGGCGUUGAGCAGGCUCAAGGCGUUUGACGAGCGCUUACGUCGGCGCACGCAGGACAAUGGCGGACGAGGCGGCGAUCAGCUGAUGUUCACCGCGGCCCAAUGGGAGGCACGUCAGCGUCAGCGCGGCGGCAACCUCGACCACGACGACGGUGCGAGCAGCGUGGCUUCGGGCACGAGACGGCGGCGCGGGAAGUGCUACAACUGUGGCGUUCGUGGCCACUUCUCCCGCGACUGCCGGCAGCCGAAGAAGGAGAAGGCGCUCCUCGCCGACAUCGACGACGAGCCGACCUUACUGUAG
rnacentral:rRNA from 1 species